CACAUGCUGUAACCGCUCCGGUCGGGUCGACAAGUCCGCUUUCCUUCGGACGGCGGCACCUGAAUCAGGCGAGUCUGAGACAUGAG
rfam:Paenibacillus macerans strain 8244 genomic scaffold scaffold1, whole genome shotgun sequence.